rnacentral:rRNA from 1 species
CGCGUAGGCGGUUCUUUAAGUCAGAUGUGAAAGCCCGGGGCUUAACCCCGGAAGUGCAUUUGAAACUGGAGGACUUGAGUAUGGGAGAGGGAAGUGGAAUUCCUGGUGUAGAGGUGAAAUUCGUAGAUAUCAGGAGGAACACCGGUGGCGAAGGCGACUUCCUGGACCAAUACUGACGCUGAGGCGCGAAGGCGUGGGGAGCAAACAGGAUUAGAUACCCUGGUAGUCC